AUCAGGAGCACUGAUGUCUGUGGGCC
rnacentral:piRNA from 1 species